GUCGAGCGGUAGCACAAGAGAGCUUGCUCUCUGGGUGACGAGCGGCGGACGGCCGAUUAAUGUCUGGGAAACUGCCUGAUGGAGGGGGAUAACUACUGCGAUACGGUAGCUAAUACCGCAUAACGUCGCAAGACCAAAGUGGGGGACCUUCGGGCCUCACGCCAUCAGAUGUGCCCAGAUGGGAUUAGCUAGUAGGUGGGGUAACGGCUCACCUAGGCGACGAUCCCUAGCUGGUCUGAGAGGAUGACCAGCCACACUGGAACUGAGACACGGUCCAGACUCCUACGGGAGGCAGCAGUGGGGAAUAUUGCACAAUGGGCGCAAGCCUGAUGCAGCCAUGCCGCGUGUGUGAAGAAGGCCUUCGGGUUGUAAAGCACUUUCAGCGAGGAGGAAGGCAGUAAGGUUAAUAACCUUGCUGAUUGACGUUACUCGCAGAAGAAGCACCGGCUAACUCCGUGCCAGCAGCCGCGGUAAUACGGAGGAUCCGAGCGUUAUCCGGAUUUAUUGGGUUUAAAGGGUGCGUAGGCGGCCUAUUAAGUCAGGGGUGAAAUACGGCAGCUCAACUGUCGCAGUGCCUUUGAUACUGAUGGGCUUGAAUGUGGUUGAAGAUGGCGGAAUGAGACAAGUAGCGGUGAAAUGCAUAGAUAUGUCUCAGAACUCCGAUUGCGAAGGCAGCUAUCUAAGCCAUUAUUGACGCUGAUGCACGAAAGCGUGGGGAUCAAACAGGAUUAGAUACCCUGGUAGUCCACGCCCUAAACGAUGAUAACUCGAUGUUAGCGAUACACAGGUAGCGUCUUAACGAAAGCGUUAAGUUAUCCACCUGGGGAGUACGCCCGCCAGGGUGGAA
rnacentral:rRNA from 1 species